rnacentral:lncRNA from 1 species
CGCUAUUGGCCAGUCGCGUCGGGCUCGAUCUGAGAGACUCAAUUGGUCAGGUAAAUAGCUGCAAGUUGGCAGGAAGAGCUAGAGAGCGGAGAUACAUGAUGAUGUCAACACGGCUGUGAUCCUUUCGGUCUGGCAAACGCAAGGUCUUUUUAACCCAUCGAUUCCUUGAUAUAAAUAGUAAUGGUCCGGUGGGAUUGUACAAGUAAUGUUCUGCUUGAUCUCAGAAGUGGUCGUUGUGUCGGGUCUGUCCUUUAAGGCGCAUUGCAGCGUUGCUCAAGGACUAGUGAUCAUCUGCAGCAUCCGGAGGAGUCCAGAUCCUACUGGCUGUUUGACCAGAGAUCAAGAGACAUGGAGAAUCUGAGCCACAUCUCUCCUUAUCUACACUUCUGAGCUGGGUUUGAGGCAGGUGAGCCAAAAUGA